CAGCCGCCGCGGUAAUCCAGAGGGUGCGAGCGUUAAUCGGAUUUACUGGGCGUAAAGCGUGCGUAGGCGGCUUCUUAAGUCGGAUGUGAAAUCCCUGAGCUUAACUUAGGAAUUGCAUUCGAUACUGGGAAGCUAGAGUAUGGGAGAGGAUGGUAGAAUUCCAGGUGUAGCGGUGAAAUGCGUAGAGAUCUGGAGGAAUACCGAUGGCGAAGGCAGCCAUCUGGCCUAAUACUGACGCUGAGGUACGAAAGCAUGGGGAGCAAACAGGAUUAGAUACCCCUGUAGUCCCUGUCUCUUAUAC
rnacentral:rRNA from 1 species